AAUUGAUUGAAACACUAGCGUGUCCGCGAGAUUCAACACUUGGCAGCAAGUCAGCUGCAUUUGACAAAACAGAAGGUGAUACUUUUCAACGAAGUAACAGAGCUUUUCCCGGAGAAUAGACACACGAAGUUAAUAUCCAAACAAAAAGCGCAGCCUUGACACAUCCAAUAUGGCGGCGACGUUGACGUACGGCUCAGCACUCGGUCAGGCGUCUGUCUACUGUGUCUAUGCCUGCGGCUGCCUCCGAUAUCACACAGACGAGCAGUAGGCGGUGCCAUCGUGGAGAAUAAAUCGCAGCCUUGACACAACCAAUAUGGCGGCGACGUUGACGUACGUCUCAGCACUCGGUGAGGCGUCUGUCUAGUGUGUCUAGCCUGUGGCUGCCUCCGAUAUGACAGACUAGCAGUAGGCGGUGCCAUCGUGGAGAAUAAAUGUACUCAAAGCGCUUUGACAGGUACAAGGUUUUCCUGUUGAUGACUCAGCAUCAGCUUUGACAUGGUCACGGGAGGACGGAGGAUCGAAGAAGCCACCUUCAGUGCUUAAAAUGUUCCGCUUGAUCCCUUCACCGGACUUGAAAGAGAACUUCUAUUGGGACGAGGUGCUAAGAGACGACCACGUUAGCGCCAUUCUCUACCCCGCCUCCUUCAGU